rfam:Dufourea novaeangliae contig2680, whole genome shotgun sequence.
AAAAUGGCCCUUUUCAGGGCCACAAAUUUCAUUACGACAAGGAACA